UUUGGUAUUUUUGUAAAUAAAUAUAUCGGUCAGGGGUAUUUUUGUAAUUAUAUAUUUUCAAUAAUUCUAAUUUGGCUCAAAGUGAAUAGUUAGGGGCUAAAUUGAAAGGCUAAAAAGAAGUUUAGGGGUUAAAUUGGAAUUCUACAGAAUGAAAUUGUAAGUAAUUAAGAAAGUUAAGGGACCAAAUUGUAAUAAGGAAAAGUUCGGAGGCCUAAUGUCGAUAUUGAAGGGAAAGAAAAUCGGGAAAGAAGCGGAGAGAGAGAGGGGGCGUCGCGCGUGAUGAAGGAGGAGC
rnacentral:lncRNA from 1 species